UUUGAUGUUUAUUUUAUUACUUUCCACCAUUUGUGUAGAAAACGUACACAAUCCUCUCUUAUCUUUAUUCAGGGAGUUUUGAAGGCAUUCACAGUGGGGCGGGCAACAUAGCCCCAUUCACAGCUCUGUUAUUCUUGUAUUUGGGGAAGGAUCGCGUUCGGAGAUUAGACUGAUAGAAGUAUGCGCCUCGGGAGCCAGAUAGCAUCUUGCUCUGUCACCCAGGCUGGAGUGAAGUGGCUCAACCUCAGCUCACUGCAACCUCUACCUCCCGGGUUCAAGCGAUUCUCCUGCCUCAGCCUCCCGAGUACCUGGGACUACAGAUGCUGAAACCAAUGCCUUGCUUGAAGCCUGGAAGAGGAUGUUGACCUGGAGGACCAUAAAGGCCAAAAUUUAGAGAAGAUGGUGCUGGUAAAUGAAUUCACAAGAAAUGCUUCCUUGCCAACUCACUUUUCCACUAACCUGUCAUCCUCCUGGUCCUGACUGUUCCAUAAAAGCCAUCUUUUGAAGACUGUCAUCCCAACGGAAGAGCCAUCUGAGAUGACACCAGUUUCCAGCAGCUCCCGAGAUACUACCCAGAGGGUGCCCAAUGAAAGCAGGUGGCUUCCAUCAGCAUGGAGCCCUGAGGCAGAGAGGUUCGCAUAUGGUGUCUCAACUGUUAGUGCUUUUUGUACUCCGUGAUUCAUGCUUAGAAAUGGAAAAAAAAACCCACCUCCUCCUCCCGAGGCAUCUGUGAUUGGCAACUCCUCUUAGGAUUGUGCUGUAUGGACUUCAUGGGAAGAUGCAGCGCAUCUGACAGGAGAGGAUGUAACUGUUUCUUCGCUGCUUCCAGCAGCUUGUGACAAUGUCAUAACUGAAUUCUUUGGGGGGGCUCUUUGGUUUGUCAGUGGUUCAGGCUGCUUCAGGCUUGGCUUGACAAGAAUUUUUUGAACACUUUUAAAGAGAAUGUUGCCCAUUGGCUAUAAUCCCCAGCAAGAAUAAGAAAAAGUAAUGAUGACAUGUCAGUUUGGGGAUUCCAGAAUAUACUUGACAGCUGGCCAUCAGAUGACCGGCAGCAGCAAAAUGUACAAACGAAUAUCUUAACAAUUGAUUAGAGCAGAAUGGGCUGUCUCACAAACAUUUAUUUACCUAUAGAAACAGCACAAUACAUUUAGAAGUUUAUGUAGAGAGUCUUGUUAUAAUUGAUUGUUGCACAUAAUUUGGCCAAUUUUGUGUGAAGAAUGGUAGUGGGGGGCUUCAUAAAUGAGUCAGUGGAUGUCACAUCUGCACGCUAGGAUUGGACUCCUGUCCCCAAACCAUCUUUACUGAUCUACUUGCCUUGCUAGGUUGUUGUGAAGAUUAAACGCAAUCCUGUGUGUUAAUGUGUUUCGUGAAUUGCAGUGCACGUUGCCAACAUCAGUUACUAUUAUUAUCCUCAGACAGGAAAACUGAUCCCGGAGAAAAAGUGAGACAGAGCUCCUAGAAAGAUCACUUCUUUGCCUAGAUGUGGCACUGGCCCACAGGUUAGAGGAAGAUAUUUACCUGCCAGGGAUCUUCCUAGAGACAAAACAGCCUGUCCUUUGGGAUGUAAUCAAUGAGAGUUUGUUACUGGAACAUGCAGCAGAGAAAGGCUGCCGUGAAGGGAGACCCAAGCAUAGUCUUAGAAGGUGAAGUUGAGGGGUGGGGAGCAGGGGCGCUAUAACUCCAGGAAAGCAGGAAGACGCUCUGACCACAGACAGGUUUUUUGAGUAGAAAGACUGCAUGUUGGAGAAAUGAACUGCUCAUGCUCUCAUAAUCUUAGUUCACACAUUGAACACAUAUUUAUCAAGCACAGAUUCUGAGGUCUCCCUCAUUCUGGUAUCAUGGAGGAAAGCCAUCCUGAAAACAACCACACUACCAUCACUCUGACUGACUCAGCAGGCCAGCCACUGAAUAGGAAUUUAGUUUCCAUUCUAGACUCUGUCACUGUGAGGGUAAUUCUUGGGCAAAAGUCCCUCUAGAUUUCAGGAGAGUAGCAGACGAGUCCAUUGAUGGGUGAGGAGUGAUAACCCAGUUGGCGGCAGCUCUCCUGGCUCCUUCCAAAUGUCCUCCUGUAGGUUAUCUUCAAAUGCCCAUCAAGAUGAUUAUUUGAUAAGUGAAUUGUCUGCUAGGGCUGCCAGACCACAGACAUUUCUUUUCUCAUGGUCCUGGAGGCUGGAAGUCCAAGGUCCAGGUGCUGCAGGCUUGGUUUCUCCUGAGGCCUCUCUCCUGGGCCUGCAGAUGCUGACUUCUCCCUGUACCCUCACAGGGACUUCCCUCUCUGUGUGUCUGUGUCAUCACCUCCUCUUCUUACAGGGACACCUGUCAUAUUGGAUUAGGGCCAACCCUUAAGAACUCAUUUAACCUUAAUUACUGCUUUAAAGACCCCAUCCCUAAAUACAACCACAUUCUGAGGCACUGUGUGUUAAGAUUUCAAUGUAGGAAUUGUAGGGGAAGAUAAUCCAGCCUGGAACACUAUGUACAAAUUCCAGUUAUUAAUCUGUUUGUGUCAAACUGCUUAUUUCACGGGAUUUUGGCCACCCUCCCCACCAGCUUGAUUCCCUCGUUUCCCUGUGCCAAUCUGGCUGCUGGUUAGUGCCCUGGGUAGGGGCCACACAGAGGUAGACAGCAUGGUGAGAGGAAGUGAACUGGACAGGGGGUUGACCCCAACAGGUGGAGGAAUGUCAGACAGGUUAGGUCAUGGGUGAGAGGAAACAGAGCCACUCUUUAGGCCAGCAGAGACUCCUUCAAGUAAGGGUGUGUGUGCUAACUGAUUGCAGCAUCCACAGCAGGAAAGGAUACUGGCUGCAUCAUGGCAACUGCCACCCUCAGCCUCAGGUGGGAGUUCCUUCUGUGCAUGAUAUUCUUGUUAAUAGCCUGAAACAUUUCUUGAAGGGGUUGUCAGAAUUCUAGGAUGGUCAGGACAGGAUCUCAAGGGCCAGUAAUCAGGCUGGAGCCUGAAAUGGUCUUGGGUCCACCAAAGCCAGACAAGAGAAGGUUUGCUGAGAGUAUCUAAAAUGUGCUGAAGGAACAGGUGAACAGCAUAAUUUUUUUUGUAUCUCUAUCAGAUAUAUUCCCAAGCAUUAAAAGUUGAAAUACAAGGCAAACAAAAAGUAACUGACAUUGAUAAACAUGCAAAUGACAGUAUAUUCAAGUGUCUACAAGUAGCGGUGGAGGCCAGCUGAUAGAACUGCCUCUUUUGCAGAUGGGAAAAUUCAAGUCCAGGCAGUUCCAGGUCAAAGCCGCACAUGGAGUUGGUGGGAGACACGGAACUGGAGUCUCUCCGAGUCCAACGCUAUUUCUACAACCCACAUGGGCCAUGGCUUUUAGCAUUAGGGGGAAUUUUAUUCUUUAUAGCAUACUAUCUCUAGGAAGCUGGGAUUUCUAAUUCUCCUUGGGUCUUAACUAAGUACUUGUCACUUAAAAAUUAGGCACUUUAAUUAUAUGAAAAAGCACAUGACUUAUACACAAAUUUCAAAAUGAACUUAAAAAUUAGACAGCAUCAGGAAUUAAUUAAGUCAUUUAAUUCCUCAGCCAACAGGUUAAUUUUAGUAGAAAACUGCUUUAGUAUACACCAAAUGCAAUACUAAUUUGAGAAUGUUUUCAUUAUUUCUACUGUGUGUUUCUUUUUAUCCUUCUUUUAUUCUUUAUCUCCUCACACAAAUAUAGAGCAGGGAGUCUUCUCUCUGUAUGCCUGUUGGUGAGCAUUCCAGAGGAUGUGCAUUAAAAAGUGCAGGACUGCCAGGCAUGGUGGCUCAUGCCUGUAAUCCCAGCAGUUUGGGAGGCCAAGGCACGUGAAUCAUCUGAGGUCAGGAGUUCGAGACCAGCCUGGCCAACAUGGUGAAACCCCAUCUCUACUAAAAAUACAAAAAUGAGACGGCGUGGUGGCAGGUACCUGUAACCCCAGCUACUUGGAAGACUGAGGCAGGAGAAUCGCUUGAACCCGGGAGGUGGAGGUUGCAGUGAGCUGAAAUCAUGCCAUUGCACUUUAGCCUGGGUAACAAAAGUGAAACUCCAUCUCAAAAGAAAAAAAAAAAGUGCAGGACCAACUUUACAAUUAAGAGAUUUUGAAGUAAUGUUUCUUUCUGUUUUCUACUGACCUACCUGACAACUUUGUCUGAAAAUACCUGACUCCACUAACAUCUUGUUUAUUUGAAGUUCUUCUUGUUUAGUUUUCCCUUAGCACAUUUUCUUUUGUAAAUAAGAAAAGAUACAAUAAAAGCACAAAAAAUAAAAUAAUUACCUUAAUCUUAACUGCACUAACAUACUUUGAAGUUCUCUUAAAGAAAAAACAUGACUUCACCAAUAUCUAACAUUCUCUUGACAAUCAGUGAAAAGAAAAUUUACACAUCACAAAAUAAAAUUACAUAAACAGAUUACUUAAGAAGCCAGAAUUUCCAGUUAUGCACAAGAUUUUCCACAGAUAUUAGACUCUACCCUUGUACACUAAAUAAACAGCAAGUGAUAAGGAAUAGAAACAGUUCCUGUUUCCUUGUUGAGCAACCAAGCAACACAGAAGAAAUCAUUUUUGUUUAGAAAGAAAAUAAAAGAAAGCAACGUUUCACAGACAGGGAGAGAUGUUACCACCAAACCAAAGGUCUCUAUAAAUUCUAUGUUUAUUCCACGUUGUGGCUCCACAUCUGACUGGGCAAGGCUUCUAGGGUUGGGCAUCUCUGAGACUCUGUUUGCCAGGCCGCCCCAUUGUCAAGGGUAGAGAACCUGGAACCAUCUAAAUCAUUCAGCAAACCGCAAGAUUCUGGGGCCACACCCAAAGAAACAGGGCAGAAGGCUCACCAGCAUAACAGGAGGCCCGAAGCCCGAGCAGUGUAAUAACAUAAUGCACAGUGUAAUUAAGCAAUUACUAGGAACUCAAAUGAAGGGUGUUAUUGUUUUGCCCUUCCUCACCGAGUAUCAACUGUAAGCCUGGCCACAGCUGUACUAAAGCCAAACUCUACAUAAACGUCUCCCUCUCACCCUUGCCUCCCCUUCCUCGUAAAGAGCCAGGGGCCUGGCAAAUAUUCUCCCAGUCACUUUGGGUCAUAGGUGGAACACUGGCUUUUCCAACAACAUUAGGAGGCGGUGCCCAGCCUUGGUUGUUGUAACAGCUACAAGGUCCACACCUCUCGGGGUGUGAGGAAGGCCUCCUUGACUAAGGAAAUUGAGAUACUGUAAGUGUUCCAAAGACCCUUGUGUCUAAAAGCCAGAGCUACCGUAAUCUCCUUCCAGUUCUGGCACUAUCUUCCAUUUCAUAUCAAGUCUCAAGAAAGGGUCCUGGGCCCAUGAGUGCUGGCGGCCACCUCCUCUUUCAUUCUCUCUGACUCUACUCUGUCCACAGAGGCCAAGCAGCCUGGAGCACAGUAGGUUGAGCACAGACUGUAAGGUGGGUGCCUGGAUUCACACCCAGCUCAAACACCUGGGAAACCAAGAGACAUUGGACCCACACUCCAUCCUGCCCCACUGCUUCCCAGACAUAUGUUCUCAGGCUCUUCCAGAAUGUAGAAUUCAUAUGAAGCCCUGUUCAGCUCACAGCGAUUUUAUGGGAGUUAAGAGUAGACAUCUGAAAGCUGCUAAGUAGAAAAAUUGCAUAGUGCGGCAUAAUAUAAGGAAGCUUGUCAGUGGGUCUAAAUACUGCUUUCCUCCUGGUCAAUUCCACCCUUCUGAGGUGAGGUUUCCUGUCUUACAGAGCUCUCUCUGCACCAUUCUCUCACUGGUCAACACGUCAGUGUUCCCUAGUUGGUUUGUAGGAGUUAGUUUCUCUUCUGUUACCACAUUAUUUCUUUGCAAAGGAAAUCAGAGUUUUCACUGCCUCUAGAACCUUUACUGGGAUAGCAUACUUAGAAGUCUUUUUUAAUGGUUGUUCAAAACAUUUUAUUUGUUAAGUUGGAUUUGUGGUAAGUUUUGUAGGUUGGCUCAAAUAUUCAUAAUUUACCCUGAAUGAAAACUUAGCAUGUACAGGUUGAGUAUCUCUUACCUGAAUUGCUUGGGACCAGAAGUGUUUCAGAUUCUUGAUAUUUUUGGAUUUGGGAAUAUUUGCAUCUACAUAAUGAGAUAUCUUGCAGACGAGACUGAAGUCUGAGCAUGAAAUUCAUUUGUUUCAUAUACACCUUACACGCAGAGCUGAAGGUAAUUUUAUAAAGUAUUUUGAAUAAUUUUGUGCAUGAAAGAAAACUGUGGCUGCAUUUUGACUGUGACCCAUCACAUGAAGUAGAGUGUGGAAUUUUCCACUUGUGGCAUCACGUUGGGGCUCAAAAAGUUUCAGAUUUUGGAGCAUUUCAAAUUUUGGAUUUUCUGAUGAAGGAUGUGCAACUUCUAUGUGUCUUCUAAUAAUAUUUGGCCUUUAAAUUAAAAGAACAUUCCAGAUCCAGUAAA